CCGUCAACAUUUUGUUUGUGUAGACAGUAGAGGUAACAGUUUUUGUCCAAUCUUUAUGAAAUUUGGUCAGAAUGUUUAUCUUGAUGAAAUCUGGGUUGGGAUUGUAUUUGGGUCAUCUGGGGUCAAAAACUAGGUCACUAGGUCAAAAACUAGGUCACAUAAUAGGUCAUAUAAUAGAAAAACCUUGUGUAGACAAUAGAGGUCGCAGUUUUCAUCCAAUCUUUAUGAAAUUUGGUCAGAAUGUUUAUCUUGAUGAAAUCUGGGUUGGGAUCGUAUUUGGGUCAUCUGGUGUCAAAAACUAGGUCACUAGGUCAAAAACUAGGUCAAAUAAUAGAAAAACCUUGUGUAGACAGUAGAGGUCACAGUUUUCAUCCAAUCUUUAUGAAAUUUGGUCCGAAUGUUUAUCUUGAUGAAAUCUGGGUUUAUCUUGAUGAAAUCUGGGUUGGGAUUGUAUUUGGGUCAUCUGGGGUCAAAAACUAGGUCUCUAGGUCAAAAACGAGGUCAAAUAGUAGAAAAACCUUGUGUAGACAGUAGAGGUCACAGUUUUCAUCCAAUCUUUAUGAAAUUUGGUCAGAAUGUUUAUCUUGAUAAAAUCUGGGUUGGGAUUGUAUUUGGGUCAUCUGGGGUCAAAAACUAGGUCACUAGGUCAAAUAAUAGAAAAACCGUCAACAAUUUGUUUGUGUAGACAGUAGAGGUCACAGUUUUCAUCCAAUCUUUAUGAAAUUUGGUCAGAAUGUUUAUCUUGAUGAAAUCUGGGUUGGGAUUGUUUUUGGGUCAUCUGGGGUCAAAAACUAGGUCACUAAGUCAAAAACUAGGUCACUAGGUCAAAUAAUAGAAAAACAUUGUAUAGACAAUAGAGGUCACAGUUUUCAUCCAAUCUUUAUGAAAUUUGGUCAGAAUGUUUAUCUUGAUGAAAUCUGGGUUGGGAUUGUAUUUGGGUCAUCUGGGGUCAAAAACUAGGUCACUAGGUCAAAUAAUAGAAAAACCUUGUGUUGACAAUAGAGGUCACAGUUUUCAUCUAAUCUUUAUGAAAUUUGGUCAGAAUGUUUACCUUGAUGAAUUCUGAGUGGGGAUUGUAUUUGGUUAGUCAGGUGAGCGAUUCAGGGCCAUCAUGGCCCUGUUGUCAAAUAUUUUAUCUGUAUUUAAAUUAUUGUCAUAAACUGGGUUUCAUUUAUUACAGAUUUAUAGUUAGCUCAACUAUUCACCGAAUA